UACGUAGGUGGCAAGCGUUGUCCGGAAUUAUUGGGCGUAAAGCGCGCGCAGGCGGUCCUUUAAGUCUGAUGUGAAAGCCCACGGCUUAACCGUGGAAGGUCAUUGGAAACUGGGGGACUCGAGUGCAGCAGAGGAAAGUGGAACUCCAUGUGUAGCGGUGGAAUGCGUAGAUAUAUGGAAGAACACCAGUGGCGAAGGCGACUUUCUGGGCUGUGACUGACGCUGAGGCUCGAAAGCGUGGGUAGCAAACAGG
rnacentral:rRNA from 1 species